rnacentral:rRNA from 1 species
CCGGUAAACGGCGGCCGUAACUAUAACGGUCCUAAGGUAGCGAAAUUCCUUGUCGGGUAAGUUCCGACCUGCACGAAUGGCGUAAUGAUGGCCAGGCUGUCUCCACCCGAGACUCAGUGAAAUUGAACUCGCUGUGAAGAUGCAGUGUACCCGCGGCAAGACGGAAAGACCCCGUGAACCUUUACUAUAGCUUGACACUGAACAUUGAGCCUUGAUGUGUAGGAUAGGUGGGAGGCUUUGAAGUGUGGACGCCAGUCUGCAUGGAGCCGACCUUGAAAUACCACCCUUUAAUGUUUGAUGUUCUAACGUGGACCCGUGAUCCGGGUUGCGGACAGUGUCUGGUGGGUAGUUUGACUGGGGCGGUCUCCUCCUAAAGAGUAACGGAGGAGCACGAAGGUUGGCUAAUCCUGGUCGGACAUCAGGAGGUUAGUGCAAUGGCAUAAGCCAGCUUGACUGCGAGCGUGACGGCGCGAGCAGGUGCGAAAGCAGGUCAUAGUGAUCCGGUGGUUCUGAAUGGAAGGGCCAUCGCUCAACGGAUAAAAGGUACUCCGGGGAUAACAGGCUGAUACCGCCCAAGAGUUCAUAUCGACGGCGGUGUUUGGCACCUCGAUGUCGGCUCAUCACAUCCUGGGGCUGAAGUAGGUCCCAAGGGUAUGGCUGUUCGCCAUUUAAAGUGGUACGCGAGCUGGGUUUAGAACGUCGUGAGACAGUUCGGUCCCUAUCUGCCGUGGGCGCUGGAGAACUGAGGGGGGCUGCUCCUAGUACGAGAGGACCGGAGUGGACGCAUCACUGGUGUUCGGGUUGUCAUGCCAAUGGCACUGCCCGGUAGCUAAAUGCGGAAGAGAUAAGUGCUGAAAGCAUCUAAGCACGAAACUUGCCCCGAGAUGAGUUCUCCCUGACCCUUUAAGGGUCCUGAAGGAACGUUGAAGACGACGACGUUGAUAGGCCGGGUGUGUAAGCGCAGCGAUGCGUUGAGCUAACCGGUACUAAUGAACCGUGAGG